UACGUAGGGAGCGAGCGUUGUCCGGAAUCAUUGGGCGUAAAGAGCAUGUAGGUGGAUCAACCAGUCUGCUGUGAAAGUCGAAGGCUCAACCUUCGAAAGCCGGUGGAUACUGUUGAUCUAGAGUACGGAAGAGGCGGGUGGAAUUCCUGGUGUAGCGGUGGAAUGCGCAGAUAUCAGGAGGAACACCAAUAGCGAAGGCAGCUCGCUGGGACGUAACUGACACUGAGAUGCGAAAGCGUGGGGAGCAAACAGG
rnacentral:rRNA from 1 species